GAAGCGAGCGGCGAGAGGAGCCCGAGGCGAAAAAGUAGCUGUCAAAUGCGCGGCUCCUUUAAGCGGAGCCCUCAGUCCGGCUCGGAGAGUCAUGGCGACCACAGCGUCUAACCACUACAGCCUGCUCACCUCCAGCUCGCCCAUGGUGCACGCCGAGCCGCCGGGGAGCAUGCAGCCGGGCGCCGGCUACAGGGACGCCCAGGCGCUGGUGCAGGCGGACUACGCGCUGCAGAGCAACGGGCACCCGCUCAGCCACGCUCACCAGUGGAUCACGGCGCUGUCCCACGGCGGCGGCGGAGGCGGCGGGGGCGGCGGCGGCGGAGGAGGCGGCGGGGGCGGCGGCGGCGGCGGGGACUCGCCCUGGUCCACCAGCCCGCUGGGCCAGCAGGACAUCAAGCCCUCGGUGGUGCAGGCCGGCGGCCGGGGGGACGAGCUGCAGCAGCAGCAGCAGCAACAGCAGCACCACCCGCAGCAGCAGCAGCAGCCCGGGCGGCCGCCGCACCUGGUGCACCACGCCGGGAGCCACCACGCCGCCGUGGCCGCGGCGGUGGCGUGGAGGACUGGCGGCUCGGCUCACCUGCCGCCGGGCAUGGCGGCGGCCAACGGCGGCGGUCAGGGCGGGCUCCUCUACUCGCAGCCGCCGGGCUUCACGGUCAACGGGAUGCUGGGCGGCGGGCAGCCGGGCAUGCACCACCACGGCCUGCGGGACGCCCACGAGGAGCCGCCGCCGCCCCCCCACCACCCCGACCACCUCCCCCAGCCGCCGCCGCCGCCGCACCCGCACGCCGGCCAGCCCCCGCCGCCGCCGCACCACCACCCGCACCACCACCACGAGGCGCACUCGGACGAGGACACGCCGACCUCGGACGAUCUGGAGCAGUUCGCCAAGCAGUUCAAGCAGCGGCGCAUCAAACUGGGAUUUACCCAAGCGGACGUGGGCUUGGCCUUGGGCACGCUCUACGGCAACGUCUUCUCGCAGACCACCAUCUGCCGCUUCGAGGCCCUCCAGCUGAGCUUCAAGAACAUGUGCAAGUUGAAGCCUUUGUUGAACAAGUGGCUCGAGGAGGCGGACUCGUCGUCCGGCAGCCCCACCAGCAUAGACAAGAUCGCGGCGCAGGGGCGCAAACGGAAAAAGCGCACCUCCAUCGAGGUGAGCGUCAAGGGCGCCCUCGAGAGCCAUUUCCUCAAGUGCCCCAAGCCCUCCGCCCAGGAGAUCACCUCGCUGGCGGACAGCCUCCAGCUCGAGAAAGAGGUGGUCCGCGUGUGGUUUUGUAACAGGAGACAGAAAGAGAAACGCAUGACUCCCCCGGGAGGGACUCUGCCGGGAGCCGAGGACGUGUAUGGGGCCAGCAGGGACACGCCGCCGCCGCCGCACCACGGGGUACAGACUCCUGUGCAGUGAACGCCGCCCCCGCCAACGCCGCUGGCGGAGGAGGAGGAGCAGGGAGGGAGCUGGGGAGGGGGGCCGGCCCCUGGCCCCCUCCCCCUAACCCCUUCCUCCUCCGGCCUUUUGAUUGUUUCCCCCCUCCCCCCCUUAAAACAAACAAAACAAAAACAAAACAGGCAGACAAACAGGAAGGAAGGAAGGAAGGAAGGCGACUGCACUGAACUCUCCUUGAAACGGUAGCAAAGUGUGUAAUGAAUGGUGUGUUUUGACCUUUACAGGCGACUAACCAGGCAAUGGAGUGCAGAACAAGACUGGGGAGAUGCUCUUCCCCUCCCUUCAAAUCACCCCUUGACAACGUUGCUUCAAAGCUGCCUUUAAUUACGGAACAACUUGCUUGAUAGUCGGAUAGAAGAACGCGGCCUUCCCUUCACAAGGCGUCUAAAUUCCACAAGCUCCCUAUCUAUUCAUCGAGCCCUAAUGGGCUUUGGCUUCUCAUAUUAUUAUUCAUUAUCAUCUCUGGGGUGGCUCUGGAUUAUGUGGUUUCUUUGCUCACCACAUCUUGUUUUAUUUCUCUCUUUCAUUGUUGUUAUUGCUGGGUAGUGUUGAUGUACAGUUUUCUCCAUGGAGUGAAUUAUUCCUAUUUAACACACAAUAGGGAGGAACACUACACAGUAACAGGAUUGCUUUCAUUUCUGCUUUUUUCUUUUCUAAUGCUCAUGCAGCAAGAACUUUGCAAGAGCACAGCGCUAUUUGGAACAAGGAAACUGUUAAACAUGUAAAACCCCCUCCCAAUGCCUAUGAAACCUUUCACAGAGAGAAAGAACUGGAGAACUAUUUACCAGCAAAUACCUAAACAUACAUCAAAUAUCAUCUUCCUUAACAGUCACAGGAUGCUGACACCAACAAACCCACAAGGUUACUACUACUUUCCCAACAGUUACCAAAAAGACAAACAAAAACCCUGAACUAAUCCCAUUAAGUUCUGUGGAAUUGUUCAGGAGUAAUUGGGUUGCAGUCUGUUUAAAUUCUCAAUGUGCUUCCUAUAGCCACUGAGGUCUUUUGAAGCUUAUAUAUACACAUUAUAGUUUAUUGCCCAAUCGCUGUGAUAAGGGCCAAGCAUCCAGUUACCAUCAAGUAGCUACUGGCUGAUUGCUAAGUGAUGAUGCCCAUAGAGAGAGGCAAUUCACUAGAAGUUAAUGAGAAUCUACCAGGAGUUAACUGCUUUCCACCUCUACCAUGACUUGAAGACAGAUGGCAACUUUUUAAAGGGGCAGGUUCCAUAGAAAUGUAUGGUGUGUCUAAAACUGCUCUGGAUUAAUCCAUUUAAGUGUUGUGGGAUAUAUCAUCUGUCCUACAAGAGGGACACAAAAUGUGAAAUGUAUAAUGACAAAACAGGGGAAGGUUUUUUUUUAAAAAAAAAUGGGAUCCUCUUUUGAACUUCAGAAAUUUGUCCAAUAAAAAGAUGUCACCUUA